GCUAAAAACAGUAUAUUUAUAAUUUUUUAAUGAUAUUUCCUGAUAUUCUGAAAAAUCGGGAGAAUUUGAUAAAAAUCGGUAGACCGGGAGAUUGCAUGAAUUUUCGGGAGACUCAAAAGGUAAAGGUAAAGGUAAAAUCGGCCGAGUUGGAAUGUCUGCAUUCUAAACAAAGUAUGUAUUGUACACAAUUUUUAAUAAACCAUACAUUUCAUCAAAUGUACAUAAUUCAUCCACAGUUUAUAAUAAUUAUAACUGCUGAUGAUUCGCAAUAAACACUUUAAUUAAAAUUGUGUAUAAUUAACACUUUGUUACGAAUUUUAUAAGCUUGUAAAGCUUUCUGGAAGCAUUAUAAUUUCUUCCACAAUAAUUUUCUCAUUAAAAAUUAAUCCUCCUUCAUUAUCCGUGCUUCAAACCUGGUUUCAUCACGCUUAUAGAUUGCAUUUCUGUUCGCUGCAAAUCCUUCAACUGUUUUUCACCCCUUCGCAUCAAAUACUCUAUCCUCAAAAUGUUAGAACGUGGAAUUUUUGCAUUCUUUCGAAAUUCUGCCUGAAUAUACUCCUUGAAGCCAGCCCGUCCUUCGCAAGCUCGAAUCAACCUUCUGUACAGACCAAAGAUAGAUAUUUGCAAACGACUGUAUUUUAUGGACAUAUCUAGCCUUCCUUUCUUCGACUAUCAAGGAUAACCCGUUAAUAUCCACUUACAGGUAACAGACAAAUAAACAAUAAAGUCAAAAAAUUAUAGUCAAUUGUGAUAAACCAUAAUUUGUCCCAAUUAUGAUAAUUUUCAAUGUUGUAUAAAUUAUAAAACACGUUGAAGGUUUUAUAUUCUUUAAUUUCACAAACAGCAAUGUAUAUAAACUGAAAUUUCAAUGAAUUUUUUUUAUUUAGUCGAUUUCCAAAAUUCAUCCGCUCUUGGACGUCG